ensembl:snRNA U1 U1 spliceosomal RNA
CUACUUACCUGGCAGGGGAGAUACCAUGAUCAAAAAGGUGAUUUUCCCAGGGCGAGGCUUAUUCAUUGCACUACGGAGGUGCUGUACCCUGCGAUUUCCCCACAUGUGGGAAACUUGACUGAAUAAUUUGUGGUAGUGGGUGACUGUGUUUGUGCUUUCCCCUG